GCGAGGAUGGCGGAACUGGUAGACGCGCUAGUUUGAGGGACUAGUGGGCUAACACCCGUGGGGGUUCAAGUCCCCCUCCUCGCA
rnacentral:tRNA from 1 species